UACGUAGUUAGCCGUGGCUUAUUCAAGAGGUACCGUCUUCUGCUCUUCCCUCUUAAAAGAAGUUUACAACCCGAAAGCCUUCUUCCUUCACGCGGCGUUGCUGGGUCAGGCUUGCGCCCAUUGCCCAAUAUUCCCCACUGCUGCCUCCCGUAGGAGUCUGGGCCGUAUCUCAGUCCCAAUGUGGCCGGUCAACCUCUCAGUCCGGCUACUGAUCGUCGCCUAGGUGGGCCGUUACCCCGCCUACUAGCUAAUCAGACGCGAGGCCAUCUUCCAGCGAUAAAUCUUUGACAUUCAAACCAUGCGAUUCAAAUGUGUCAUGCGGUAUUAGCAGUCGUUUCCAACUGUUGUCCCCCUCUGGAAGGCAGGUUCCUCACGCGUUACUCACCAGUCCGCCACUAAGCAUUCCUCUCCAUUGUCCGAAAACUCUUUCAAGGGUGCUCCGUUCGACUUGCAUGUGUUAAGCACGCCGCCAGCGUUCGUCCUGAGCCAGGAUCAAACUCU
rnacentral:rRNA from 1 species